rnacentral:ncRNA from 2 species
AUAAUAGGUCUUUUCCGUGUUCUGACAGCUAAAAGGAUAACUCAUGCUGUCAGAACCUGAGUCUGAACUUUACGGGCUCACGGGGUUAUGAUUGGAAACGGUCUAACCUUCACUUUUGAGAAGGAAAAGCUGCGGCAGAAGA